GCUUCCGGUUGCUCUCCUCUCCCAUUGAUAUCCGGGAGGGUUUUCGCCAGCAGUGCUGAGAAUAACAAGAACUUUCAUGUCAGAGGUUGUCACAGUUUUGCAGUGCAGAUCCCCCGAACCCACCUUUCGUUUGGAGGGCUAUGCUGUGCAUUUGAUUCAGUGUGGAGCUUCAUGGGAGUCAGUGGCAAACACUGUCUGGUUGGUGAUAUCUCCUCCACAGAAGAAUUAAUCUGUAUACACAUGUGUAUGCACACACAUGGUUACUGCAUUACUGACUCUUUAAGAGAAAUUAUUUAUCUCCAAUGAUUUACUCAACACAACCAACUCCACCAGGAUGGACACCGAAGACUUCAACAUGCAUUGUUCUUCAGCGAGGAAUGUAAUCAUAACAAUCACCUUUAUUCAGGGCUUUCAGUAAGAACGUCUGGAAUCUAAGUGUGAGGGAAAGUCUAAGGUCCUAGGGUCUUUACUGUUUAACUGUGAAUCUCACCCCAAGUUCAACCUGCAGGCCAGGAGAAGGAGAGUUGAGAGUCAGACUGUCUAUGAGUGGCCGGGCCUCAUGACUUCCUGAGAGGAUGACGUCUGGAAAUGAUGUCGAGUAAGUUCCUGUGUGUCUUCCAUGUGCGCAAUGCUGAUUGUGCUUCCUGCAGGCUGUCUGCAGUGGAAAAGACCUUCAAGUUGACUGUGAGUGGGUGCGACUCAUCAAGAAAAAUAACCUCACCACCACAACAACACAUGAUGGGAGAGACCGAAACUUCUUUGGGAGAACAUAAGGGGAAAAAAAAAAGAAAAAGUGAAGUCUAAAUAUUAUUAAACACAUGAAAGCAGAGUCAUUUACUUAUUAGGAAGGCGCUCAUUCACACACAGGUAGACUUGUGGUCCCUUAGAAGUACGUAAACACAACCCGUCAGUCCACCACAGUCAACAUCAGAAUUUCUUGGGAAAUGCCUCAUGAAAGAGUUUUUAAAGAAUAAUAUGACUGUGGAUCUGUCAAAUAAUUUCCCAAAAGCCAUGAAAGAUGAGUUGCUCUGCUCUGUUAUGCAUUUCCUUCCCUUGCACGGGCACUCACAGCUUGCCAAAUUUAGUCUGAGAUCUGAACAGAGAGAAAACAUGAACUCUUUCAACUGAAGUUCGGCUUCCUGUUUCUACAUGGCCUCUCAUACUCUGGGCCAUUCUGCAGAUCUACCCAGGUGUGUUUCCUGGACACUUGAUAAAAAUCAUUCUCACAUCAAAGUUGACCAAAAAUGAUUGAUGAUAAGUAGUUAAGGGUUUAUAAAUGCCAGACUAUGGGAGAUGAUUGUAAAAUAAAUAGAUAUAAAUAAAUAAAUAAACAAAUAAAUGUAAGCCCUCCAGUCUA
rnacentral:lncRNA from 1 species